AAUAUUGCACAAUGGAGGGAACUCUGAUGCAGCAACGCCGCGUGGGUGAAGAAGGUUUUCGGGUCGUAAAAUCCUGUCAUUGGGGAAGAAUAAAUGACGGUACCCAAUGAGGAAGCCCCGGCUAAAUACGUGCCAGAAGCCGCGGCAAUACGUAGGGGGCGAGCGUUGUCCGGAAUUACUGGGCGUAAAGGGUACGUAGGCGGCUGGAUAAGUCAGGUGUGAAAUACCAGUGCUUAACACUGGAAUUGCAUUUGAAACUGUGUAGCUUGAGUGCAGGAGAGGAAAGUGGAAUUCCUAGUGUAGCGGUGAAAUGCGUAGAGAUUAGGAGGAACACCAGUGGCGAAGGCGACUUUCUGGACUGUAACUGACGCUGAGGUACGAAAGCGUGGGUAGCGAACA
rnacentral:rRNA from 1 species